CAGCCCUCAGGCCCCGGCCUGGUGUUGGGCCUGGCCGUCGCGGCCGGCCCCAAAGACAGCGGCGGCGCCGCGUGUCCCUCAGCGCAGUACAGUCUCUCGCUCCGGGGCCACGCGGGGCCUGCCCCCCAACCCUAU
rnacentral:misc_RNA from 1 species